UGGAGCCGUGGAUCGCUUCCCUCCAGGCUGCAGGGGACACGACCUGCUCGUUUUCUUCUCUUGAGCUAGACUAAAGCUGUAACCUUUAAUAGCAGAAUAAACAGCUAUCGGAGAAACUUUCAAUGGGAAGAUAUACUUGCUUCUCAUAAUGUUUUAACAGGUACCACGCUUAACUCUUCCUGCUGCCUUUGAGAAUCUGCUCCCUGGGCUUGGCGUGCUUCCCUUUAUCUGAGCGAAAAUAGGUUUAAAGGGAAGGGGCAACGCUGAUGAGGAAAGUCCCCCAGGAGCACCUGCCAAGCAUUACCUCUCAUUUCAAGCCUGACUGUUCCUGCUGAGAAAGUCUGAUGGAGCUUCGAGUCUGGGUCAAGGGACAGAAAUUGCUGGCUGAGAAUCUGAGGCCUGAACCCAAAAAAAACAUGUCUCAAGAAGCAGCGAAAGCUCGGUGCUGUGAGCCUACUGUCUUCCAGAUGCAAUGUCCACCAUCCCGACUCCUCCCGGCGGAGCCAGCGCUGUCCCUGGUGGGCGUGUUUGCUGCAUCAAAGCCCUGGUUAGUGCUGCAAGCG